UACGUAGGGUGCAAGCGUUGUCCGGAAUCAUUGGGCGUAAAGAGCUCGUAGGCGGUCUGUCGCGUCGGCUGUGAAAACCCGGAGCUCAACUCCGGGCCUGCAGUCGAUACGGGCAGACUGGAGUUCGGCAGGGGAGACUGGAAUUCCUGGUGUAGCGGUGAAAUGCGCAGAUAUCAGGAGGAACACCGGUGGCGAAGGCGGGUCUCUGGGCCGAUACUGACGCUGAGGAGCGAAAGCGUGGGGAGCAAACAGG
rnacentral:rRNA from 1 species